rnacentral:misc_RNA from 1 species
CAGAGAACAUCGCCCUCACGGGUGACUCUCCAACCCUAUGUUAUUAUACCUUUGUUGCUUUGGCGAGCCGCUUCGGCCACCGACUUCGGUUGGUGCGUGCUCGCCAGAGGACCACAAACUCUGAAUGUUAGUGUCGUCUGAGUACUAUACAAUAGUUA